AUGGACACAGACACAGAGUUUGAAUCUGGUAUAGAUUUGCAUAAGAGGAAAGCUGCUAUAAAAGUGAGGUGUCUUGCAGAGGACCCCGGGUCUCGUCUUGUCAACAUGGGAGCAUCGAUCCGGAUCGGCAGAAGCCCGGCUCCACCCCCUCCCCCAUCUAACUCACCUGGCCAGUGAAGUUAACGGGAGCAACUAAUUGAUCAUAGAUGUGACUCUGGUCGCCAGCACAAAGGGGAACCAGUGCAGCCAUCACAUGACAACUUCACCUUAGAUAUAGCAGGAUACUUGGCUACUAUAUCCUACAACCUUCCAGGCUGUGAAUGACCUGGGGCAAGAGAAGAGAGAGAAAUAUAAAUCUCCAGUAGAAAGACUUUUGACAGACUAGCCAUUUGAUUGGAAGAAUACACACCCAAGUCUAUUGUUCCAGAGGUGAUGCCUUUUCCAUGGAGAGUUUAAUGCCAAAUAAGAGAUGGGAAGAGGACCGAGCCAAUGAUCUGCAUGGAAUUUACACAGAUGAGCAGGGAUAGUUGAAACUUGUGGGAAAAAAAACAAGGAAAAGUUGAAAAUUGUGGAAAAAGCUACGUACCAGCUCUGCGUGUGUGAGUAAAACUGUAAACCAUUUUGCCAUGUUCUAUGUACCUUACUUAAACACUGCAUCCAAAUAUAUUUUCCAGGAAUGCCUGCUUCAUUGUUUUGCUGCUAAUGUACUGUAUGUUACUGGAGCCAACACAAAUCUGCCUCCACUGCAGACAAAUUCUGAGGAGAUUUUCACCUCAGCUCCAUGUAACUGUGCAGCUCACUAAUCUUCUGUUCAGAGGGAAAUUUAAAAAGUACACCCGAAAUAUUUGUCUUUCCCCAUAAAAGACUCACACAAGCAAAAUGGGGACAGUGUCUAAGGCCUAAUUCUGCACUCAGCUCAAUUAAUGUGGGCCCCUGCAUCUAUAUAGUCAGGUUCAGUAGCACGCCCAGAUGCAAGAUCAGGCACUAACUGCUUCUACAGGAGAAAGAGUCAGUUUCAUUCUAUUCGGUGUUGUCUACCAAAUGGACAAAGGAAACAACACCCUCCCUCCCCAUUUUCUCAUCUCUUUCAGUUUGAAUAAUUUCUUUAACAAUAGGUUAUAAGAUUCAGACAGAGGUAUAAUUCUUAAAUUGACAGAGUAGACUUAUAUGACUCGGUGGUAAAAUGCCUUAACUAGUGCUUCUAGUAGAGAAGUAGACCUUUGCUACCCCAGUCUUGCUGCUACACCAGUGAACAUGGUGGUGAAUUACUGGGCUUCUAUAUGCCAGUAUAGACUGAGUCGCAGGUGAAAGUGAUCAUAUUAAUCAUGAAUACAUGCUACAGAAGUUUCAGUUAAGCUGAACUAUGCUAAUGCUAGAAACAGGAAUAAUGAUUCAUUUUAAGAUAAUAUAAAACAUUGCCUGCUUUUGGAAGCAAUGGUUGUAUCUCUUAUAACCUUGCCAAUAGCCCUUCCCACAAUUAUGUUGUGGGGUCAGGUAAUGUAGCACCUGGUAUAAUUUAUUCAUUUUAUUGUCCCUAAUGCUCAGGGCUUUGUCCAAACAUUGCAGGUUCUUUGCCCUGACCAGGCUUCUCUUGAUCCUCCACCCUAUAAUCCUUUUUAAACAGACAUUCAAUCCAUUUACUCUUAAUAGAAAAUGAGAGAGGGGGAACAAAAUGAAACAAGAGCAAAACAAAGGGACUAGAGGGGGAAGUGCUAAAUAGCAUAUUAAUUUUAGAUAUGAUUCUCCAGUGCUGAAAAAAGAACUCACACCCACCUGGAACCCACUGAAGCCAAAGGGUGAGAUCUUGGCCCCAUUGAUGUGUGUUUUGCUAUUGACUUCAGUGGAGUUGGUCUUUCACCUCAGGUGUAGGGUGGCCAUCCCCUGCAGUUCUCUUUGCAGGAUCAGGCUCUGAAGAUUGUAUUUGGGUGUGGAUAUUUAAAAAUAAAUAUAACAUCCAAGUUUGAUCCCAAUUCAGUUUUUUGUUUUGUUUUUAAAGCUGGUGGUGGGGGAGGUGUCAAAUCAAGAGCUCAGUGACAAGAUCUUAAAACCAUUUUAAAGGUUUAUUUUGAAGGUGGUUUUGGUAUGUAAUCCACCUCUGUAUCUUGCUAUACCUGAAAGUAAUAUUAGAAACCACUGUCAGCUAAGAAGUCAUUAAAAAUGUUGACUUCUCCCCGUGUUACAUCUUUGAUUGCUGAAAGUAAGAGGGUUUUAAAAAUCUAAUUUACUUUUCAAGGGUAUGCUCUUUACAUGUUGCAUUUAUCUAGAAAAUAAUCAAUCAGUUAAUUUUCCUUGUUUUCAGUCAAUUUCAUUCUCUGGUUCUCUUGCAACUCAAAAUUGUUAGGGUUAUAAACAUUGCAAAGGACCGUUUACAUUAAAAACACAUGCAUUCUCUGAAUUGUUUGUAUUUGUGUGUGGAAACAUUUCUAUUAAAUCAUAUUAGAUUUC